ACAGGGGCUCCACGCACACAGUUACGGACGAUUGAGCCCAGCUGUCCAGGUGGAAUUCUCAGUUCACAGACUCAGCGCCGUGGACUGCAGAAGAGCUCUAGGUUGGCUGUUGUGAUGGGUGAGACCCCGGCGCCUGCAUACAGAUAUCAACAGAGCUUCUUGAACAUUUCAUUGAGAGACGCCCAAAAGUAACCUGAUUCGAGCACUUGUUGCUAUCUACAAGAACAGGGUUAGAUGGGGAUUCUGGUGCAUUUCUUUGGCAGUACCAAGCACCAAGGCUGUGCAGGAAGGUUUCACAGGGACCGAACUAUUCAUUGUUCAGAGCUCACGCAGCAAAACCAGACGUUAUUUUGAUUCUUCUUUAAUGCCGUCUCCGAGGGAAAGUACUGGGGGAACUUGGGUGCAGGAGACAGAAUGUAAUUACCUACAUUGGAAAUUGGCCAGAACAUUGGCAUUCCCAACUCUGGUUUUAUAAACAGCGCAAUGAAACCCUGGAGGCUUCAACUGCAAAAACAAAAGUCACCCCUCUGGAUUCCCUAAACAAGAAGCUUAACUUUUAUUUAACAAAGAAAACAUUUUUCAAGGAGCAAGAGGGGCAAAGAUAGAAGUGUAACCAGCAUCCAGAAAAGCUCUUUAGUAGGGACUUUCCAGCAUAGCUCCGGUUCCAGGCUAAUUAAUUAAACACAGAUGCAGGCUACAUUGUUAGAAAUAGGCCUGAGCUGCAAAGUUUGUAUCCAGAGCUGAACUUUCCCAAUGCAGAGGGGUGUUUAGGUGUGGGGGAUGUUGGUCCCUUCUCAGUCACUUCAGAGCCAAUUCCCAUUGAAACAAAUAUGGAGCCGAUGAUUAGAUUUAAUGGGAGUCGGAUUGGGUCUUCAAAGCUGGCAGGAAUACAGCAGGCACCUUCUGUUUUAAUGAAUCCAGGUGCAACAGACUAAAAAACUUGAAUCACUAGAUGAAAAUAUAAUACACCAUGCAUAGCAGGACUAUGAUCAUCCUCUGUAAAACCACACCCUGGGGAAAAGGCAUGCAGACCAUGGUUUUCUUGUUUACACAUUCAAUCUGGCAGCUGGUUUUUAAUUUAUUUUACUCACGGAGGUGGGACAAAUUGUUGCAAACAGUCCAUCGUCUUUGGAGACCGUGAUACAGGCCCAGAAUGGGGUGUAGUCUGCUGAGCUUUUGACAAAGCCACCAUGUCACAGAAGGCAGUUCUCUUCCUUCGUCCAUCACGCAGCUGGAGAUUCCAAAGACUUGUUUGCGCCUUCCGAGGUGGUGUUCUCCCCUCCUGAAACGGCCACACAGCACGAAACCUCAGCCCCUUUCGUAGGUGCCAAGGCCAGAAGGGAUCAUUGGGAUCAUGUAGUCCAAGCUCUGUUAACCGUGUUGACCGUCGUGUGUGAAGAGCUUCAGUGCCCCAGACAUUUGUAGCAGUACAGAGACGCCGGGGGAGUUCCAGCCAAUCCAAACUUCCUGAUGUAUCUGAACUCAGCGAGAUACUAAAGGAUUGGCAACGGCGUGAUUUUGGGCCUCUCAUGGCAGCUGGGGAGCCUUCAAGUCACAUUCUGAGACAAGCGUGUUGGAGAAAAGUGGCAAGGAAUUCGCUCCUGCGGUAAAGCUUUGAUGGCGGUGACCUGAGAGAGGAACCAAAUUUGACUCAUCCGCCCAUUUGGAAAAAGCCGAGCAGGGAGAAAGAACUGGAGUGUUUUCGAUUUCCUACAGUUGAUAACUCCCUGCAGAUUUCUGGAAGAGAACAGGGAGCUCAACCAGUUUCCUGCCCAGUCUGACUGACAUGACAUUUCUGAAGCUUUAGGGCCUCUGCUUUCCAUAAUUAAGGACUUUAAUAUUUUGGUUUUCAGAUCAUUUCUGAAAGGAAUGAAAGCCCUCCCACCCUCCCCUUUGUAAGGAACCAUAAAACCAGAUGCAACACUAAACAAUUUGUAAUCCCAGGUAAUGCAACAUUUUCAGCAUGGAACGUUGGGCCCAGCCCUAUGCUCCUUGUUCAGGCAAGUAUGUAAUUUCAUGAUUCUGUAACUGUCUCCACCCUGUUCUCCGUUCCCCUCCUUCCUCUUGUCAGUUACACACUCGUUCUGCUCUGAUUUUCAGGGCAUCGCUCAUUGUAAGCAGAGCUGGGUGAAAUGUUUCAGAUGAAUAGCUUAUUUGCCGAAAAUGAAAACGAUUUGCAGAUUGGUGCUCAGACCCAACGGGAAAAGUCAAAGUGUUUUGGUAAAUGUCCAGUCAAAAUGUUUUGUUUGGGUAGGCAACAUUUCAUUUGGCUUGGCAGGCAUUUCCCCAAAAACUAGGGAAGAACGGCUAGUCACCAACCAGCCAAGAAGGAGGAAAUCCUGCCCCUACUGCCUCCCUUAAAAGCUUCAGCCCAGUGGUUCAGGAGCUCAUCUGACUAUAGACCCCAUCUUCCUCUGGGCGCUGGCUACACACAAUAUGGCUUAUGGCUGUGCUUUCCCUCCCUGGGGUAGCCUGGGGUUGGCUUGGUGGAGGCAGCUGCCAGACUGCCCCUGGGGGUGAUGGGAUCAGAGCUCAGAAGGAGUAGGAGUGAAGGGCAGGGGUGAUGUGUACAGCAUGGUUUGAUGGAAAUGAAUUGCUGUGUAGGGUGGGCCUAGGUGCACAUGAACGGGCGGGUGUGGAAUGUGGGGAUGCAUG